rnacentral:lncRNA from 1 species
GGGUGGAGGCCACACUAUUUAUAGGCCACUCGCCGCCCAUAAUGCCAAUGGAAAGGUGCCAAGUGGCACAAUACUACUAGCCAAAAGGGGAGGCCACGCGGUCUCCCAAGAGUCCUAAUAAAUAUCAUAGAAACUCGAAGAGUCAUACAUUUAUUGACUACCUAGAAACUCUAAGGGACUCUUGACCCUCCGGUAUCCGCACCAUUAGUCUCGAGAUCCGCGUAGAAGCUUCUAGAAGAUUC